UCUAACAAGCGCCACAUUAUUCCCGUUCGUUUCUAAUUUUUUGUUCUGUGCUGCGCCCGUCGUUGUUAACCGUCGUAUUUUUCAGUCGAACCGUCAUUCGACCAGGAUCGCCAUACAACUGUCACAAGAUCGCGACGAAAACUGUUGCACGAUGUUACAACGACCUGUGUCGGAUUACCCAGACGCGCUUGCAUUCUUUCGGCACCGCGCGAUGCUAAGUUUCAUGCGAACGCGUUGGAAGACAAGUUGGUCCACUGAAUCACGUAGUACACGCGCUAUUAUUCACGGCGGAGUCCAACAACGGAUACAGGGUGGCGCUGCUCAAAUAUCAUUUCAAACGUGUAAACGCGACUCCACCGUGCGUCGAAAUAGAAUCGUACGAACGGAGCAUCCGUCGAGGAUUCUUUCCAAAAGCCCGAGGCAAGACGGGGAUUCAGUAAAUUCUUCCUAAUUGAAGCUCGGACUGUGCACGAAUGUGGACAAUUUGGGAAGAGGAGAGCUGCAUAAUUGCAACUGCGCAUACUGUACGAUCGUCGCCUUUAUCGUUUGCUAUGCUGAAUUAUGAAUCGAUCAGAUGCCUUAUCGUAACCGUUAUCCACUUUCACAAGAGGAACAGCAUGAUACACUAAAUUCUCCCUAAUUCAUGCUCACAUUGUACACAAAAAUGGACAAUUUAGG